AAAGGCUGGUGGGAGGCCAAGCCGUGGCCGCACACCUGGCGGGUGCGGCCCAUCGAGCCCGUUACUGGGAGGGCCGGCAGGUCGGGCUGCUGUUGCAGUCCGACUACCGGGACGCCAUGGAGCGUAUCAGGACCCUAUGAUGAUGAUGUAUGUAUGAAGGUCUGGAGCUAGCUGCCGUCUUCGGGAUGUGCCAUUUGUUUUCAAAAUUAUUUACUCAUCCAAGUCCAUUUAAAUAAAAGUGUAUUAUAGUAAACAGUAUUGUGUUUUGUUACAGUGAAUAUGUGGGGAAUGGUGGACAUGCCUUAGUGUGACUGGA